rnacentral:SRP_RNA from 1 species
GCCGGGCAUGGUGGUGCAUGCCUGUAGUCCCAGCUACUUGGGAGGCUGAGGCAGGAGAAUCGCUUGAACCCAGGAGGUGGAGGUUGCAGUGAGCCGAGAUCAUGCUACUGCACUUCAGCCUGGGCAACAGAGUGAGAGUCUGUCUCAA